rnacentral:rRNA from 1 species
UACGUAGGGGGCGAGCGUUGUCCGGAUUUAUUGGGCGUAAAGGGCGCGCAGGCGGCCCUUGAAGUCAGGCGUGAAAGCCCCGGGCUCAACCUGGGAGGUGCGCUUGAUACUCGAGGGCUUGAGUGCGGGAGAGGAGAGUGGAAUUCCCAGUGUAGAGGUGAAAUUCGUAGAUAUUGGGAAGAACACCGGUGGCGAAGGCGGCUCUCUGGGCCUGUACUGACGCUGAGGAGCGAAAGCGUGGGGAGCGAACAGG